rnacentral:rRNA from 1 species
CCUACGGGAGGCAGCAGUAGGGAAUCUUGGUCAAUGGACGAGAGUCUGAAGGAGCCACGUAGCGUGAAGGAUGACUGCCCUAUGGGUGGUAAGCUUCUUUUGUAGAGGAGUAAGACGAGGCACGUGCGCCUUUUUGCAUGUACUUUAUGAAUUUGGAUCGGCUAACUCCGUGCCAGCAGCCGCGGUAAUACGGAGGAUCCGAGCGUUGUCCGGAUUUAUUGGGUUUAAAGGGAGCGUAGAUGGGUUGUUAAGUCAGGUGUGAAAGUUUGCGGCUCAACCGUAAAAUUGCAAUUGAUACUGGCAGUCUUGAGUACAGUUGAGGUAGGUGGAAUUCGUGGUGUAGCGGUGAAAUGCUUAGAUAUAACGAAGAACCCCGAUGGCGAAGGCAGCUCACUAAACUGCGACUGACACUGAGGCUCGAAAGUGUGGGUAUCAAACAGGAUUAGAUACCCCAGUAGUC